AUUUUUUUCCCCCUGUCAUUGGAGCUGGCAGAUUUUUCCUCCUGUGGAGGAUUUCCUCAUGACUCAGUUCGAUGAGGGCAGCUGAAUGCUGGGUGGGAUGGAGAGGAGAGAGAAACACAGGAGGAGAGAGAGGCUGUAUCUGAAGGCAUGCGUGUGUGGGCUCCAGUCAGUCUCUACCAGUACCCUGGGAAUGCCACUACUCAGCCCAGCCCAGCACAGAGCAUCCAGGUUGUAUCCAGGGAGACCAGGACCAGAGAAAAAAAAUCCACCGGGGACUGCGUUGGAGUAAAGACUUCCACCACUGCACUCCAUGUCAUUGAGGACAUGAAUGUUGACUAAAAAAAAUCUUGUUUUUUUUCUUUUGAAUUUGUCCUCUGGGCCUGUUGUCAUAGAAAUUCAAGACUUCAUGUCAUCAUGUUUUUGCAUCAACUGCCUCUGUGCUGGAACUCGGAAUGCACUCUUUCUGUGAUUCCUCACAUUUGGACACUGCCGAGCUUGUGAUUGUAGAAAGGUGUUUGUGCCAAGACUGUCCCAUUGCACACAAACACAGUGAGUGUGCCCGCCUCCCCCUGAGCCUGAAGGGGCAUCUGUUCCUUCCUUGUUGGACAGUGAUUGUAUAGCAGCAGACGUGUAUAGUAUACACGAGUGUGUGUGUGUGUGUGUGUGUGUGUGUGUGUGUAAGGGCAAGUGUGCUGAUGAGAAGCAGAAAGAGACAGAGAUUGCAUUAUGUAAGUCAGCAUGAUGUGUCUCUCCUGUCUUCAACACACAGACAUGCACAUGCUUAAAUAAGUGGAGUGUCACCUUCUCUAUUGCUGUGUCAGGACUUUGGAUUGGAAGCAGGAAAGAGGACCAUCUCAUGGAAAUACCGACCCUUCUCCAGCCUUCUGUAAUUUUACCUUUCCGCUCUGGUUCUUUCUCCCUCGCACUUCCUGGUCGGUGUUGCUAAUUACGCCUCGGACCGUUUUGAAUUAGAAUGUCAUUAUCAUUAUCCAAUGCUCUUUUAUGUCGUCGAGGUUCUCGAUUUGCAUUUGUAUUCACAUGUUUUUCCAUUUGUACACUGACGCUGUGAAAUUGCCAAGAUUAAUUUUCUGUAUGCAUGGUAUUCAUGCAAGCAUUUAUUUUCUGGAAUUAGCAUUCAACUGGCACCUUAUUACACCGCAUAGACCUUUCAUUAUCUCUAAUGAAUGACUCCUUUAAAUGGGGAACAUUUGUACUUGAAUGCUGUAUCUUAAUAUGCAUCGAAAAUUUCACAUUCACGUUGUGAUGAUUGCACAAAUUGGUUCUCCUGAUAUACGUUUUUGUAUGUGAAUGAAAGUUACAUAUGGCCUUAUUUCCUGUGGUAAACGCAAGUUAAAACAUUGCUAUCCCUUGAGCACAUGUUUGUGUUCAAGGGAUAGCACCAAUGGUUUGCAGUAAGUGCUUUUAUAUUUUAGUUACAGCCCUCUUAAUAACAUUAGUAAUGAUGAUACUAAAUAGAAGAGGCACAAUAAGAUAAAACAAUACAGAAAUAAAAUGCAAAUAACAGAUAAAAAAAUAAAGCCAUGUUUAAUGAACAUUGUAGGGUAUAAGAUGAUUCUGGCUAUGGGCCCAGGUCAAGGGGUGAAACAAGGGGUAAGGAUACUGACACUUGAAGGGGAACAAGUAGGAUUAAGAUUACAAGAUAAGCGUUAUGCUGCUAAACCAGUUCACAAAUCAUCUAAAAGAAUGAGGAAGACUAAAUACAAAAUAAAUACAAAUACAAAAAGAGAAAUCAAUAAAUUAGCUGAAACAAUGAAGGCCAUCAUUAUAUUCUCACCAUACUCCUCCUUUAAAAGUCAUGGUAGCUGAGGAUUACAUUUAAUUUAAUAUCAUUAUUAUCAUUCUUUAAAUUCAAUUUAUCUUAAAUCUACCUUCAGCUUAUACUUUUGAAAUUGUAAGACAUCUACUGCUGCUUAUUUUGUCAUUGGCCUUUCAAAUUUAUAUUAGUUUAAGUUGACAGUGGAUGAGGAAAUAAGCUUUAGAUUUGUACAUGUGUGGGUUUGUAUAUGGUUUAUGUGUGUGUGCUUGCAGUUUGUGUAUGUGUGCAUAUGCUUUGUCCUUGUUUUAUAAUGUCAUGUACUGUAUGCUUGAUCAAAGUAGUAAUGACCAAGAUUUGGCAAUAAGAGUUGCCUAAAACAGCGAGUUUCCAAAGAAGAAGUAGACCUAAGCAAUUCAAACAUUUUUGAAGGUCAAGACCAAUGUAUUAUUUUCUUAACAGAAAAAAGUAUUCAGUAUGUCUCAAAAAAAUCGAUUCGCUACAGUGUGCCUAUAAAACAGCACUUAAACUAAAACAUUAAACUCAUAAUAUUAAUUAUCUUGAGUAAGACCAUUAUUUCUUAUGACAUGGUGAAACAAGUUUCUCUGCACAUGGUACGGACUGACUCCUUUUUGUGUCAGUUAAACAAAUGUCAUUGCCAUUCAAAGCAGCACUGUCAAAAAGGGAAAAUAGGAAAUAAUCAAACACAAGAAGAUAUUAAAGUAGCUAAUGUUGACAAAUGCUGUGGUGCAUUUGCAGGUAUCACUGGAACUGUUUUCUCAUUGUUUGUGUGUCUCAUAGAUGCCACCUGCAUCGAGGCGAGGUACCUACAUUAUGUAACUAACUGGCACAGGACCGUUAUAAUGGAGGACUGAAUGAAAGUUGGCUGCUUAUAACCCACCUGCUAAUUUAUACAGUAUCUAGGGUUCCUGUAGUUCAGUGUCUAUAUCAUUAAGCUGUACCAUAAUCAUCAAGGUGUUUUCUGACAUUUUUGAAGAUCCCAAUUCAAGCCAACGUGCAGACACAUUUUUGGUCUGGUGGGCUGAGCCGAAGAGAACAUACUGACAGUAUUAUACAGCUUUUUGAAGUUUUUUUUAAAAUUUUAUUUUGCAUUGUAUUAAAGUGAUACCCUUUUAACUGAUAAUAAAAUGAAUUAUUUUCUUGAAAUUCACAUUACAUUUUAUUCAGUAACUUGUGAAUAUUGAGCAGUAGUUAAAAGGAGCUGUUAAGGAAUGAACUACCUUUUGUUCCAUCUGAAAGGAUCAAGUAACGUCCAUACUUAAGAAAGCGUACAAGGACAGGACAAGGCACCCAAUUAUUUAUCCACGUGUGAGGUAGUGAGUGUCCUUUCACAUUACUUCCUGUACUGAGAACUGUUUUAUUAGUACUGCUAGAAUUAAAACUAAAACUACUUUAUUAACUGACCUUUGGGUGCAAAAUUACCGCAGUGUAUGUUUGACCUCAACUUUUUCAGAAUGUUGGGACAGCAAUAAAGACAAUGAGGUUUAAUAAAGGAGUGUUUAUCUUUUAUAUUCAUUUGUAUUCAUUUUCAUUCAUUUAUUAGUAUUAUAAUACUACUGAUGAAAUUGUAAGAACACUGUGGUUGUGUUGAUGCUGUUGUUGUUGAUCAGGCAUCAUGCUUCAAUAUUUAUGGGCUAGGUGGAGUGUGAAGCAUAGUAACAGCACAUGUUGUAACAUAUUGUACAUAUGAUGGUACAGUGUGAUUGUGUUUUGAAGGUAAGAGAAGCAAUGCUAGAUUGUUACCCUCAAUGUAAGCUCCCUUCACAUUCAUUGCACCCCUUCACUGCACAGCACACAUUAGUAGGUGAGGAUUUAUUUCAGCACAAGAUGUUCCCAUAAAAGUGGCAAUCUUGUUCCACCCGCAUGACGGUUUUAGCAUUCUGGGUAACAGCAUCUGAAAUCAGAGACACAAAUGGGUCUGUCCAUAAAUACAUCUACGUAUAAUGGAGCCACCCUAUGUAAAAGCACUGUUGUUAAAAAUCCUGUGCUGAUGAUAAUUGCUCUUAUUCCAUUUUGAGUUAUUGUGUUAUGUCAGGGUGAUUUGUUUGAGCAAGGUAUGAGUAUGAUAUGAGUCACCUGGUAGUUGUUGACCUGAUAGUUGUGUAUAUGAAUGUUUCACUGUGUGUUCACAGAAUCUGGAAUUUCCCAACUUUAAUAAAGCCAGCACUCUGCUGAAAUGA